AUUGAACGCUGGCGGCAGGCCUAACACAUGCAAGUCGAACGGUAACAGGAAGACGCUUGCUUCUUUGCUGACGAGUGGCGGACGGGUGAGUAAUGUCUGGGAAACUGCCUGAUGGAGGGGGAUAACUACUGGAAACGGUAGCUAAUACCGCAUAACGUCGCAAGACCAAAGAGGGGGACCUUCGGGCCUCUUGCCAUCGGAUGUGCCCAGAUGGGAUUAGCUAGUAGGUGGGGUAAGGGCUCACCUAGGCGACGAUCCCUAGCUGGUCUGAGAGGAGGACCCGCCCCACCGGAACCUGGGCACCGGCCCAACCCCCACGGGAGGCCGGAGGUGGGAAUUUUUGCACAAGGGGGGAAGCCUUAUUGCGGCCUGGCGCGGGUAAUAAGAAGGGCCUUCGGUUGGUAAAGUAUUUUAGCGGGGAGGAAAGGAGUUAAGUUAAUACCUUUGCUCAUUGACGUUACCCGCAGAAGAAGCACCGGCUAACUCCGUG
rnacentral:rRNA from 1 species